GAUGAACGCUGGCGGUGUGCCUAAUACAUGCAAGUCGAGCGAACAGACGAGGAGCUUACUCCUCUGACGUUAGCGGCGGACGGGUGAGUAACACGUGGAUAACCUACCUAUAAGACUGGGAUAACUUCGGGAAACCGGAGCUAAUACCGGAUAACAUGUUGAACCGCAUGGUUCAACAGUGAAAGACGGUCUUGCUGUCACUUAUAGAUGGAUCCGCGUCGCAUUAGCUAGUUGGUAAGGUAACGGCUUACCAAGGCAACGAUGCGUAGCCGACCUGAGAGGGUGAUCGGCCACACUGGAACUGAGACACGGUCCAGACUCCUACGGGAGGCAGCAGUAGGGAAUCUUCCGCAAUGGGCGAAAGCCUGACGGAGCAACGCCGCGUGAGUGAAGAAAGUCUUCGGAUCGUAAAACUCUGUUAUUAGGGAAGAACAAAUGUGUAAGUAACUAUGCACGUCUUGACGGUACCUAAUCAGAAAGCCACGGCUAACUACGUG
rnacentral:rRNA from 1 species